CAGGGGCUGUGAAACCAAGUAACAAUUUGCUACCAGCAGAGAACAAGUUCUGGAGGCAUUAAUCGAAGCAUAGCAGGAAAUAAUGCCAUUAUGAUACCAGCAGCUAAGGAGAUCGAGACAGGAAAAAAAAAAUCAGAGGAGCAAGAGAAAGCAUCAAGAGCACAUCGCAUACUGUAGUGUGUGUUCCUUUGCAGACAACUCUCAUCUCCUUCUGGCAGUCUAUCACUGACCAACAACAACAAAAGUGAAGUGGCUGCAAGAUUUACAUUGGAAGGUUGAUAAUGCAGACAAAACAUUUUAAAUUAGAUCAAACUUAAAUGUAUGUGA